AUUUAACCCUCAGUUCCGCUUCCUACUUGACUGAAUCUGCCGCCAUGGAAGGGGAUAUCUACACAUCUAACUGCAGAAUUGUUACAUAAACACUUGUGGGAAUGCAGAGGAGAUAUAAUGGUUCCCUUCUCAAAUAUUCCAGGUCCAAUUUUCUCUUCCAAAAUUCUAAAAUAACAUAAUCUGACCUUACCUUUUUUACGUCAUUGACUAAAAGUAGUUCAUGAACCAGGUCAACUUAGAGUUUUCUGUCUUUUUCUUCUGCCUCAGAUUCUGUAUCAUUUGUAGUUUAACAAGUAUGCUUUUGAGUUGCAAAUAACUUUUGAGCUAAAAAUUUCAUUUUUAUGGAUAGCUAAUUAAUUAACCAAUAUGCUGUUCUUGAGACAUGAGCAUCCUUUUCUCUGUGGAUUUUCCUCUAAAAGCUCCAUUUGUUUCUCAGUUGGCAAUUUGCAAAUUUUGCUAGAUAUUUUAAAUUAUGCUUGUGGCAUCUUAAAUGGGUCUGUAAGUAUUGGUAAGUGAUGUUCUGUUCCUAUUCCUCUGAAAUCUUUCGUUUGCCCACCCGAAAACCUUGAUGAAAAUUGAAAACAGAGGCAGAUGCUUCCUUAUUUAUUGGGUUCAACUUCUGAACCCAGUAAUUUCAACAUGGAACAUAAAUAUAAGUGGAAAAGUAAUAGAAUUUCAAGAAAUAUUGAAUUAAAAAUCUAUAAUUACAAAAGUGCAAUGAAUUCAUAGUAAGAACUUAAAGAUUGAACCAUCAUAUCUAAAUUUUUUAGCCGCCUCUUGAUAAAAAUAUUACGGCCAAGAGUGACAAAGUUAUAAUAUAAUGUGAUUUAACUAACCCUAAAGCUAGGUCAUCUCUGUACAAUCUCUUGUAGGGCCCUAUUCAAUUGUGUUCAUUAUUAUUGUAGCAGCUAUAUGUAUCAUCUCUCUCGGUUG
rnacentral:lncRNA from 1 species